rnacentral:rRNA from 1 species
GACGGAGGGGGCAAGCGUUAUUCGGAAUCAUUGGGCGUAAAGAGCGUUUAGGCGGCCGGUCAAGUCAGAGGUGAAAGCCCAGGGCUCAACCCUGGAAGGGCCUUUGAAACUGGUCGGCUUGAGUGCGGGAGAGGGAAGUGGAAUUCCUGGUGUAGAGGUGAAAUUCGUAGAUAUCAGGAGGAACACCGGUGGCGAAGGUGACUUCCUGGACCGACAUUGACGAUGAGACGCGAAAGCGUGGGGAGCAACCAGG